GUUUCUUUAACUUUAAAAUUGAUGUUGAUAUCAUUGGCGCUGUGUGUUGGAGUAGAAGCAGUAUUCUUUUCUGGUGGAUGCUCCACUAGAUGCAUGGUAGCACUUUGUAAACUUUCUACGAGUGUCGCUUGUAGCAAGAAAUGCGCUUGCUAUUGUAGAACUAGGGCGGAAGCCAUGCUCAACAAAGAAAAUUGCCCGCCAGUCAAUAGUCGUGGUUCUGCGAGUAAUUCUAAGAGUAUUUCUGAGAGUGAUUCUACUACAGAAUCUCCGCAGGAAGAACCCAGUUAUCUAUACUAAAGGAAACGAAGAAGGCGGUCAUUUUUUUUCUUCACAUACUAUUUACAAUAUCAUAGGAUUUCUGAAAUAAAAAAAUAAUUGCGUUAAUACGUUA
rnacentral:lncRNA from 1 species